rnacentral:rRNA from 1 species
UACGUAGGGUGCGAGCGUUAAUCGGAAUUACUGGGCGUAAAGCGUGCGCAGGCGGUUUUGUAAGCCAGAUGUGAAAUCCCCGGGCUUAACCUGGGAAUGGCAUUUGGGACUGCAAGGCUCGAGUGCGGCAGGGGAGACUGGAAUUCCUGGUGUAGCAGUGAAAUGCGUAGAUAUCAGGAGGAAUACCGAUGGCGAAGGCAGGUCUCUGGGCUGACACUGACGCUCAUGCACGAAAGCGUGGGGAGCAAACAGG